rnacentral:rRNA from 1 species
CAGUCGCCACGGUAAUACGAAGGGUGCAAGCGUUACUCGGAAUUACUGGGCGUAAAGCGUGCGUAGGUGGUGGUUUAAGUCCGUUGUGAAAGCCCUGGGCUCAACCUGGGAAUUGCAGUGGAUACUGGGUCACUAGAGUGUGGUAGAGGAUAGUGGAAUUUCCGGUGUAGCAGUGAAAUGCGUAGAGAUCGGAAGGAACAUCUGUGGCGAAGGCGACUAUCUGGGCCAACACUGACACUGAGGCACGAAAGCGUGGGGAGCAAACAAGAUUAGAUACCCCUGUAGUCCCUGUCUCUUAUAC